rnacentral:misc_RNA from 1 species
UCCGAGUUGACCCCGGCAGUCUCCUACGAGUCCCCACCAUCACGUGCUGGCAACAUAGAACGAGGGUUGCGCUCGUUGCGGGACUUAACCCAACAUCUCACGACACGAGCUGACGACAGCCAUGCAGCACCUGGACACCCGGUUCCCUUGCGGGCACCACUCCAUCUCUGGAAUGUUCCGGGGGGUUCCAACCCAGGUAAGGUUCUUCGCGUUGCGUCGAAUUGAACCACAUGCUCCACCGCUUGUGCGGGCCCCCGUCAAUUCCUUUGAGUUUCAGCCUUGCGGCCGUACUCCCCAGGCGGGGCACUUAACGCGUUAGCUGCGGCACCGAAGGGGUCGCUCCCCCCGGCACCUAGUGCCCAUCGUUUACAGCGUGGACUAC